AGAGUUUGAUCAUGGCUCAGGACGAACGCUGGCGGCGUGCCUAAUACAUGCAAGUCGAACGAACCACUUCUUACCGGAGCUUGCUCCAUUUAGAAGCGGUGAGUGGCGGACGGGUGAGUAACACGUGGGCAACCUGCCCAUCAGAGGGGGAUAACACUUGGAAACAGGUGCUAAUACCGCAUAAUUUCUUCUUCCGCAUGGAAGAAGAAUGAAAGACGCUUCGGUGUCACUGGUGGAUGGGCCCGCGGUGCAUUAGUUAGUUGGUGGGGUAAUGGCCUACCAAGACCAUGAUGCAUAGCCGACCUGAGAGGGUGAUCGGCCACACUGGGACUGAGACACGGCCCAGACUCCUACGGGAGGCAGCAGUAGGGAAUCUUCGGCAAUGGACGAAAGUCUGACCGAGCAACGCCGCGUGAGUGAAGAAGGUUUUCGGAUCGUAAAACUCUGUUGUUAGAGAAGAACAAGUGAUAGAGUAACUGUUAUCACCUUGACGGUAUCUAACCAGAAAGCCACGGCUAACUACGUGCCAGCAGCCGCGGUAAUACGUAGGUGGCAAGCGUUGUCCGGAUUUAUUGGGCGUAAAGCGAGCGCAGGCGGUCUUUUAAGUCUGAUGUGAAAGCCCUCGGCUCAACCGAGGAAGGUCAUUGGAAACUGGGAGACUUGAGUGCAGAAGAGGAGAGUGGAAUUCCAUGUGUAGCGGUGAAAUGCGUAGAUAUAUGGAGGAACACCAGUGGCGAAGGCGACUCUCUGGUCUGUAACUGACGCUGAGGCUCGAAAGCGUGGGGAGCAAACAGGAUUAGAUACCCUGGUAGUCCACGCCGUAAACGAUGAGUGCUAAGUGUUGGAGGGUUUCCGCCCUUCAGUGCUGCAGUUAACGCAUUAAGCACUCCGCCUGGGGAGUACGGCCGCAAGGCUGAAACUCAAAGGAAUUGACGG
rnacentral:rRNA from 1 species